AUAAGAAACCUGAGCAACUUCCUGAAGAGCAGCUGUACAAAAUAAUCACUAGUAGUAGGCACAUAAAGAACUUCACAUAGCCUUUCCAGAAUAACACAAAGUACCUUUGUGUGAGGCACUGUGCUAGGUUAUUCAUAGGGAUCCUCUCAUUUAGGUCUCCUAACAGUCUCAGUGCUAGGUAUUAUUAUCCUGUUUUGCAAGUGAGGAAAUGACUUAGGCAGCUGAGCACAGGUUCCAGUCUAAUAAAUUCAAAGCCACCAAGAAACAUUCAAUAUUGCCUAAUGAAUUUACAUUUCUCUAAUCAAGUUUCCACAGUGCCUCUUUCAAAACUUACCCCCUUAUCAGCCAGCUAACAAAACCAAAUAUGUAUUCAUCUUAUACUAAUAUAUGUUCAUUUGUAUGCAUUGUAUAUAUUCUAUACACAUUCAAAUUUUUGGGUAUAAAAUGAAGUUGCUUAUCUCCUUUAAGCCUAAUUUUCAUCAAUUUUAGCCUGUCUCUAAAAAACCUGACAAUGUCCUCUGUCCUUUCACUCUCUUGUAUUUUCAGUCCUCUCAAAAGAAGAUGCUAGCUUUGGUUUUGAUUUUCCUAAUAUCAUAGUAAAGUUUCCAAUAUACAGAAAACUGGAAAAAAUUGACAGUAGUCAUACCAAUAUUUUACAAUGAAAUUUAACUAUAUUUGCUUUAUCAUAUAUCUAUCCCUCCACUCCUAUUAUGGUUUUGCUGCAUUUCAAAGCAAGUUAUAGACAUCAGUACAUUUUCUCCCAAGCCUGUUAGCAUGUGUGUGUGUGUGUGUGUGUGUGUGUGUGUGUGUGUAUAUAUAUCAUUAAUAAGCUAGUUUAAUAAAGGAAGAAAAAUAUAUAACAGGCAAAAGCAAAUAAAAGGAUGGAAGAAAAUUAUUUGUAUUAUACAAAAUGAUUGUUUUCCUAGGAAACCUCUAAAUAACAAUUUCUUUAACAAAUGAGUGAAUUUAGUAAGAUGACAAGAUAUAAAAUUAAUGUAUAGAAAUCAAUUCAUUUUUAUUUAGUAGGAGUAAACUAUUGGAAAAUAAAGUUUUAAUAAUUGAUUCAAUUUAUAAUAUAUCAGAAAACCCCCAAAUAAUAUGUAAUAAGUUUAAUAAACCAUAUUCAAGACCUAUAUAUUGAAAAUAAAUUGUUAAGAGAAAUUAAAGAACACCGUAUAAAUGGAGGAAUUUGUCUUGGAUUUGAAGACACCAAUAUCAAGAUGUCAAUUCUUUCUAAAGUGAUCUAUGAUUUAUGUUCAUAUAUUACAUCUACAACCUUGUAAAACUUAUAGUACAAUAUUAUUUUUGCUUUAAAAACACUUCCAAGUACAUUCAAAAAAUUAAAAAUGGGCUGCCUGGGUGGCUUAAUCAGUUAAGCAUCUGAUUCUUGAUUUCAGGUCAUGAUCUCAGGGUUGUGAGACCAAGUUCCACGUUGGACAUGGUGCUGGGCAUGUUUCA
rnacentral:lncRNA from 1 species